AAGCAACAGACAACAAUACACUUGUAUACAAGAACCAUGGAACUCCACCACCAGAUAUUUGAUCAAACAAACCCUGUCCUUUUGCUAACUCCACCCCAAUUGCAGCUACAAAACCAAUCAUAGCCAAUCUUCCAUUGAUCCUUUCAGGUGCUGGCCCACUAAAAGCCAUCAAAUCCGUAAACUUUGUGCUUAUCUGCCAUUAUAUAAUAAUCAUCAUUAUUCAUCAAAAGCGUUUCAUAAAUAUUGAUCAAAAUUAGUAACACUUUAGAUAACUAAACUUGCACACUGUCAUAACUUUUUAUUACUAACUAUGCUCACCUUUGGUGAACGAGUAGAGGCUGCUGAUGGUGGUGUAAUUGGGUCUACAGACAAUUUCGGUUGCUCUUUCUUCUGUUCCUGAACAAUGUAAUGAAACAUUAUUAUCAAUUAAAGUGACAUAAAUGACUAUUUUAGCUCGUGGACAUAUUUCAUAUUGUCUCUGGUACUGUUAUAAACAAAAAACCACUAGAUACAUCUGUUUUUCAAUGAAAUAUAUUCCGUACAUAAUUUUUCAAUGAAUCUAGUUUUUCCAUGAGAAAGUAAGUCAUAAAUCAUAAACAUGUUUCAUAUGAUUGGUGUUCCAAGUAAACAAAUAAGAUAUGCAUGAACAAAUAUAAUACACAUAACCUUAAAAUCUGUUUGAUAAAAGCUUAAUUACCUCAGCCAUGGAUCUAACUUUGAGGCUAGCAUUUCUUCUCAAGCUAGGCAUGUACACAGAAGGAAUGUUGUUAAAUUUGUUAACUCUAGAAAUGUUGAUCAUAGAGCUUGACAUGAUAGAUUGAUAAGAUGAAACGGCCAUUGGUAUUGAUAGUAAUUUCUUAAUGUUACAAUGAAAAUUCAAGAGACUAAAAGUCUUUGAUCACUGAAAUUUUUCACUAGAACUUAGAUGGUUAAGGUUGGUAGGUAUAUGCAUUGAAGAAGGUUGUUUAUAUAGAAUAAAAUGGAAAGCAUUAUGAGGGAAAUUUUGAUUCCACGUAGUGUGUAAACUUAUUGAAAGGAAAGAAUUGUGGUGGAUAUUUAAGUUCCACGUAAUGUGUAAAUGGGUCCUAAAGGUAAUUGGUUCACGUGGGUUCAUUUGUCCACACAUGCUAAAAGCAAUAGAUGUGGCACUACUUAGGACCGGAAGGUGCUACAAAGUGAGAAUUUAAGGUUAUAACUUAUAACUCAUAAGAGGGGAGGGGUUGUCCACUUGGAAGGUACAUGGUAUUGAAUUGUAAAAUAUUGUCUAAUGUCUAAUAAUAAGGUAAUAAAAUAAUGUUAGUUUAUUUGGUUUUAAGUAUAUUAUAUAUGUAAAUUUAUUUAAUUAAAAGUUGUUUGAAAAAUAGAGUAUGAAAUAUUUGUAUGAAAGAAUGAUAGUUUGAAAAAUUGAUAGUAAUAUACCAAAAAAUCACAGCAGAGAAUACACAAGAUUAAUAUAUUUUUUUUAAAAAAAAUAAAUAUCAUUAUAAAUCGAUCAACCAAAUCAAAAUGAGUUCGUUCAUUUUUAAAGAACAGUAAAAACCAAACCAAAUUGAACAAAUAAAAAUUAGACCGGUUCAAACAUUUUUUUAACAAAAAAUUGUCCAAAUUGAACCGAUUAUACUUCUAGUCUUCCGGGUCAGUUCUGACAUUUUUCUAUGCCUAGAUCAAAUUGAAUAUUGGAUAAAUCACACACAAUUGAUUUUCUUUCUCUCAUUUUCAUAAAUUAAAUAUCUAAAACUGUAAAAAAAAAGGCCGGUCUCAAAAAAGCUAGAGUAAAUACAAUCGGCCUUUUUGGCGUAACCCAUACGAAAAUUGGAAUGGGUUGGGCGAGCUCAUUGGGCUUAGGUAUCAACAUUUUUAUGUGAUUUUUUGCAAAAAAUACUAUUAAAAAAACAUAAACAAUGAUGGUCUAAUUGUAAAAUUAUUAAUAAAAAUAUAUUUAAAGGGAUAAAUUUAGCAAAAACUUUUCAAAAAUUUAAGUUUAAAAUUAUUAAUAUGUAUCAUAACCAAAUAAUAAAUGGGCCCAUUUAUGUAGUCGGACCCCUGGGUCGGACAACCCAUUUGACAACUCAAAAUUUUACUUCAGUCAUGCAUUUUAAUCACAAAUAACACCAACCAUAUAUAUACACGAUAUUUACCAAUAUAUCUUAUAAAUCGUGCAAUUCUUUAUCUCAUUUUUUCAUGUAUUAAUUAUGACUAUUGAAGUCAUGCAUGUUAGUGAGAAUAAAUAUUAUAUAUAAUUGAAAUAUAAAGUGGUUUUAAAUUUUAAUCCUCAUUAAUUUAUUUUAUUUUUACAAAACUUCUAUUACAUUUAUGCAUUUGUUAUCUAUCAAAUAACUUAAUAUAUUUGAUUAAUCAAAUAAAAUUUUGUAAGGUUCUAUUAUUUUAUUGAAAAUCUAUUACUUAUUUGUUUUGUUUUUCACUGAUUUUCAUUUAUUAUAUUGUGCUUUUUUUAUUUGAGGUGCUAACUUUGUGGUAUGAGUUUAUCCUUGUAGCCUUGUAGGUGAGUUCAAAUCAUGGGAUGGUUGUAAUUAAAAUAGUCAUUAGUGUCAUUGAUUAAUAAAAAUUAUCCUUCACAAAUUAAAAAGAAUAUAUUCUUUUGUAUUUUCUUCUCUUCCUUUCUUUUUAUACAUGUGUGCAUACAAAUAAAAGAUAUUUUUAAAAACACACUAGUACAAAAAAUUUUACCCCUUUCAUUAUUUAUUUUUUAAGAGUUUAAUUGUUGUGUAUCGUCGGUGUAAAGAUUUUUUAUACAUACAUCCAAUGAUGCAUUGCCACAUCAUUUAAUGAAUGUGACACAUCAUGUGUUUUUAAUUACCAUACAUGAUGUGUCGGUAUAUUAUUGGACCCAUGUGUAAAAUAACUUUACAUGUAUAUAAAUUAGAUUCAAUUUUUAAAAGGUUGUCCCUUUAACUAAUAAUACAUUCUAUUAUAAAAAGGUUGUCUUUCUAAAUAUUUAUAUAUAUUACAUGUAUUACUAUAAAUCACUGUUGCUUAUUAUAAAAAAAAAUAAAAAAAUCAUUGGUGCCUUUUAAUUAUGUAUUACUCCCUAUUUUAUUAUAUAUAUAUAUUACUCCCUCCGUAAUCUUUGGUUCUUUUAGAAUUUUGCACAUAGCAACAAUUUUUGGAUCUACUUCUGGCAUAGCAAAUGCAAGUAUCAUUGGUUUUGUCUUAGAAGAUGGGAGGACAACAAAUUUCUUGAGAAAGAAUUCUCUCCCAUAAAUUUAUGGUGAAGUGGAGCAUGGAACCUUGAUUUGAAAUUAAAAAAAGAAAACAAAAGAAAAAAGAAAUGUGUUGUUUUAAGGAUGUAGAUCACCAUUGCUCCCUGUGCAGUGAGAUUUAAAAUUGAGAGAAUCUCCCCUCUAACUUUUUUAGCAUUAAGGCAAGUCAUAAGCCAAGCGUAGGAGUCAUACAUGAAUAAUAUAAAUGUGUACACCGAGACAAAAGUGCUCAAAUAAUCAUUGAUGUCUUUAAAUGCAUUGUAGUUUUUAAAAUUGUGCAAAAUAACCCAAAUGCCUUGUAGUUUUUAAAAAUUAUGCAAAAUAACUCAUCUCGCGCCGUUGCAAUCACAGGAUGUAUAUUUGAUAUUUCUUAAUUCAAAUGUUUUUCUAUUAUCAUAUAAUUGAGUCAAAUUUACUCGUUAUUAUGCAAAGUUAAAAGUUAAUAAGACAAUAACACUUAUCUUCGAUUUUUGUCAACAAAAAAGAAAACAAAAACUUAUAUUGGAUAUACCAAAUGUCACUAUUACAAUUUGCAUAUAUGAUCAAAUCUUAUUAUGAAAUUUCAUAAGAAUAUACAUGAAGUUUCAUAAUUGGCUUCUAACGACAAAUCCUAUAGACUUUAAUCGUGUCUCUAAAAAACUGUAUUACACAAGGGAGGUACCCUUAACAUACUCUGUAAAAGCCAGAGCAAUCAAACCCAACAUAGCAAUUCUUCCAUUCCACAACUCUGCAUCUGAGGACAUGACAGCUUUUGACUUAGACUCGACACUAACACCUUGGAAAAAUGGAAUCAAUGAAGCAAGUGAUAACACCACACUUGUUCCCAAGAACCAUGGAACUCCACCACCAGAUAAUUGUUCAAACAAACCCUGUCCUUUUGCUAUCUCCACCCCCAUUGCAGCUACAAAACCAAUCAUAGCCAACCUUCCAUUGAUUCUUUCCGGUGCUGGCCCACUAAAAGCCAUCAAAUCCGAAAACUUUGUGCUCAUCUGUCAUUUUAUAAUGAUCAUUAUUAAUCAAAUCAAAAGGGCCUCAUUAAUUUUUAUCAAAAUCAAAACUUUACAUAACUAAUCUUCUAGCACACAAUUAGGAAAAAAACGAAGGUGAAAUUAUUUUUACUACCAUGCUCACCUUUGGUGAACGAGUAUAGGCUGGUUGUGGUGUCGGUGUAACCGGUGUUGGUGUAAUUGGAUCUACAGGCACCUUUGGUUGCUCUUUCUGUUGUUCCUCAGCCAUGGAACGAACUUUGAGGCUAGCAUUCCUUCUGAUGUUUGGCAUGUACACAGAAGGGAUGUUGCUAAAUUGGUUAACUCUAGACCUGCUAGAAAUGUUGAUCAUAGAGCUUGACAUGAUAGAUUGAUAAGAUGAAACAGCCAUUGAUAAUAGUCCCUUAAUGUUACAAUGCUAAGCUUAAGAGAUUAAAGUUUUUUGAAGAAUGGGAUAGCUUUGUGAAUCUCACUGAACUUAGAUGGUUAAGAUUGGUAGGUAUAUGCAUUAAAGAAGGUUGUUUAUAUAGAAUAAAAUGGAAAGCAUUGUGAGGGAAAUUUUGAUUCCACGUAGUGUCUAAAGGUAAGUAUUUUGGUGGUUAUUUAAGUUCCACGUAAUGUGUAAAUGGGUCCUAAAGGUUAUUGGUUCACGUGGGUUCACUUGUCCACACAUGCUAAAAGCAACGGACGUGGCUCUAGUUAGGACAAGAAGUUGCUACAUACAUUGAGAAUUUGAGGUGUUAAUUAAGAAUAUAUUUUUUUGGUUACAUGUGCUAAUUAAGGGUUUGUUUGGUCGGAAGGAAAAUAUGGAAACUGAAAAAUAAAUAUGGAUUAAAUCGUAGUUUAAGUUUAUUUUUUGCAAAUCCAAACAAACAAUGAAACAUAACUAUUUACCGCUCGAUUAGAUUCCUUUCUAGCAAUUCAAACAUAACUUUUGCCUUUUGUUACCUUACUCAUAGGUGAUAGUUGUUUUAUAGCCAACAAUAUAAUACUACUUCCCUCUUUAAAUAUAAAAUUCUAAAGACUAAUUUAAAAAAUAAAAAAGCUGGUAGUAGUGUUAAACUUAAUGUAAUGUGAACAAUUGGGCUAAUUACAUCAAAACUAGUGAUGGCUCAUAUAUUGUAAUUAUGACUCUGUUAUGUAGUAAAAGGCAGAACCAUUCUGUUAUGUUUAGUAUUUAAAAGCUUAAAUAAGGCAUAAUCUUGCAAGAUUUGUUUGAAUGAACCAUAUGAACCUUGAAUUACAUGAUAUGUUUCUCAUUACAUGUUGGAUAGAUGUCAAAAGUCACGAAUCUAAUAUUGUAUACUCUAUCAUCUUGAUUCUUCAUCCAAUUGAACAUUUACUUGGGUGCGUUUUGGAUAUUGUGGUGUGGUGAUAGAAUGAGCAUAACUCAGGAUUGAACUAUAACCCUUUGUUUCUGUCAAAGUGAUUAGUAUCAUGAGUUGAACACUUGGUUUUUUUAAUUCAAAAUAGUUGUUUUUGUUUCAUUAAAACUUCCAAAUCAAGAUAGUGAUAUACAAGUGUGUGAACAAUCAUGCUAAAGGUAUUAUUACAUUGAUAUAGCAGAAGCCAUAACAUUUCCAUACAAAAACUGCCAAAUUUGAAAUCAUAAUAGAACAGAGUCACAGACUAAAGUUUGAACUAAAUCCCAUUUAUUUAUACUAUCAUACCCAUAACCAAACAGUCAAGGGUGAGCACUCCACACUGCAGUCAAGGGUGAUCUUAACAAAUAAUAGUUUUAGUGGACAACUUACUUCCUCAUUGAAGAAUUGCUCGGACAAGCUGACUUUUUUGGACCUCGGAGAAAAUAAGUUUGAUGAUCCAUUACCUUCAUGGAUUGGAGACAAUUUACAACAGAGAAAUUUUUUACACGUUGAGAAAUUCUCUCUUGUAAAUUGUUUCCAACCCAUGAAGGUAAUGGACCAUCAAACUAAUUUUCUCCGAGGUCCAAAAAAGCCAGCUUGUCUGAGCAAUUCUUCGACGAGGAAGUAAGUUGUCCACCAAAACUAUUAUUUGUUAAAAUCACCCUUGACAGCAGUGUGGAGUCCUCACCUUUGACUGUUUGGUUAUGGGUAUGAUAGUAUGAAUAAAUGGGAUUUAGAUAAAACUUUAGAGUGGAGUCCAGAUUGUCAUUGAUUCUUUCAUAGAAAAGCUUGUUCUUUUCCAAUUCUUCUCCUGUGAACCUUGGAUGCAUAGCCUGUUAUAGAUACAGGAAAAAAAAUCAGUAGAAAAUCACUGCAAGAAAGGUAGUAAUUCAGUGAUAUCUAUGGCUUUUUUUCCCUUAGCAGAGAUGUGAUUCAACAAAUUGUCCAAAAUUCCUCUCAAAAAUGUAAUUUUGACGGAUCAUUUUUAAGAAAAUUUCCAAAUUCAUGCAAACAUAAAACUGUACUACUUGUAACUAGCUGCAUACCAGCAAGCUCUGACUAGGCAAAGCCUCUACAACUGACUUUGCUGCGAAAAAGCCACGGCCAAGAGGGCUGUAUGCCACUAUUCCGAUGCCAAAUUCUCUGCAAGUACAGAAAGCUUCUUAGUCACAGUAAAAACAAUUUCAGAUACAACUGGAGUAUAAUUGUAACUAGUGCUUUGAGCAGAAUUUUUUUUUUCAAUAUCUAUACCUGCAGAGUGGAAUUAUUUCUUCUUCGAUGUCACGGGACCAUAAGGAAUACUCCAUUUCCGAAGCAGUAAUACGAUGGACUGCAUUUGCUCUCUUUAUAGUGUCAGCAUUAGCCUCUGAUAGCCAUAGCCCAAUCGGAACUGAAGUGUCAACUCGGUGUUGAUAAUAUAAAUCAAUAUACUUAACACCAAGCCGUUUGAGACUAGCUUCACAACACUCCCUCUAAUAUUCAGGGGUACCGUUUACUCCAAAAACCAACCCAUCAGACAUAGUAAUACCAAACUUCGUAGUCAACUAGACUUUUUCGCGUGGAAGUUCUUUUAAUGCCUAUGACACGAGAAAAAAGUCACUUAUAAGUUUGAACAUCCAUCUUCAUGUGACAGGGGAGCAUAGUAAAUUCUUGAUAAAUCCUCCACAAAUAUUAAAAACUAUUUUGUAACAGUGAUUAGUAACACGACACUAAUCAUUAGUUAGAAUAAAAACUACGCCUUCACUGGUGUCAAUGUCUACGUAUCAGUGUCGUGUUAGACAGUAAUAAAAUCUAUCUCCACUUUUAAAUUUAACCUUAACAUGUCAAGGCCAGAAACUAUUUUAACCCCAAAGCCUUAUGAAACUGUUCUCUUUUUGGUAAAAAUGAUUACAAUUUGCAUUUCAUAGACAUAAUUAUAAAUUUUCAACCCCUAAUUUUAAAUUAAAAUAAAAUAUCAAGUAAUUGUUGGAAAAUACUUUACCUUUCCUUUCAUUUUUUUUAUCAUGCCCAUAGACAUCUAAUCUGAUGAAGAUGAAAAAUGGCAACACACCACCAUUCAAUACUUGCUUAAUAUAAUGGAAAAUCCAUCAUCAUGGUAUCAAGAAAGACUACAAUUACUUAAUUUCAACUCUUCAAGAAUUUCCUAAGGAAGCUUCCAAUCCUUGAAGAGUUUUUUUUUUUUUGUCAAUAUCACGCGAAAGUUAUGAUAGAAAAGCNNNNNNNNNNNNNNNNNNNNNNNNNNNNNNNNNNNNNNNNNNNNNNNNNNNNNNNNNNNNNNNNNNNNNNNNNNNNNNNNNNNNNNNNNNNNNNNNNNNNNNNNNNNNNNNNNNNNNNNNNNNNNNNNNNNNNNNNNNNNNNNNNNNNNNNNNNNNNNNNNNNNNNNNNNNNNNNNNNNNNNNNNNNNNAAUUGAGAUUUGAGAACAACACCGACAAUACAUAGUAUAUAAGAAUAUUAAAGUUUCUCAUUGUAAUAUUUCUCGCAAAAUAAAAUUGAGUUUCUCUAAUGGAAAAUAUACUUUCAGGAACACAGGCAUACAUAUAUAUAUAGUGCUUGAGGUCGAUAUCACGCGAAGUUUCCUAGUUGUUUCCUGCUUUUCAAUUUUUUGACGACAUUGUACAAUUAUUUCCAAAGGCACAUUGCACAAUUUCCAUCAAAUUUUGAAAAAUGAUCCUUUCAUAUCCAAAUAUAGAAAAUAUCUGCUUUUAUUUAAAAAAAAAUGUUGUGACUAAAUUUGGAAUGAAUAGUUGGGUUUAUGAUUUCGACAUGUUUGGCAUCUUUAUUUGUCUCUUGAGUAUUAGACUAUUAGUAGUUUAGUAUAAAAAGGAUGAAUAAAUAUAUUUCUAGUCUCUAUAAAAGAUUUAGGUAAGUUUUAUUCCUCAAAUAUUUUCUGUCAUGAUUUUUUAUUUCUACUUUUCAGUCAAAUCAUUUUUAUUAUUCAAACAAAAAAAAAACGAAAGUACACAGCAGUUUGAUUAAAAAUAAGGACCAAAAGUUAUGAUAGAAAAUAUUUAACGGACCAAAAGUUGAUCGAAAAUUUUUUAGAAACUAAAAAUAAAAUUCGAAAUAUUUAUAGGGACUAAAAACUUAUUUAACCCAAAAAAAUGAUAUUGGAAUUUGUAUAUUUAAUACUUCAAAAAUUAAAAAAAAAAAAAAUCUUUUUAACAUUAUUGUUGUCUUUAAUUUCUCCUAUGCUUAACAAAUACUCCGGAAAUACCGUUUAGUUAGCAUAACCCUGUUCUUAAGACCAUGUUUUUGCUCUAGCUGCUAAGUUGUUUUCUUGCCUAAUCACAUGAACCGGGACCAAGUAUAGUCUUCCUUUAAUUAACAUGCUAUAAACAGUAUGCCUAACUUCUAAGAAUUGAACCGGGACCAAGUAUGCCUAAUUUUGAUAGUCAUGCCGAAUUCUAACAUGCACAAGUACUAGUUAGGACAAGAAGGUGCUACAUUGAGAAUUUGAGGUGUUAAUUAGGUGUGUUUGGUUUUGUGAAAAAACAAUGAAAGGAAAAAAAAACGGAAACCGAAUGAACUUGGACUACUCACUUGGACUAGAGUAGUCCAAAUUCAUCAAUCAGUUUUCGUAAUUUUUUUCAGUCAUAAUUUUUUCCGGUCGUGAUUUUUUGUCCUACUUUACAUUAUUGUUGUCUUUAAUUUCUUCUUUUGAUAUGCUUAAGAUACCAUUUAGCAUAACCCUUGUUCUUUAAGAGUUAAGAGUAAGACUAUGUUUUUGCUCUAGCUGCUAAGUUGUUUUCUUGCCUAAUCACAUGAACUUUUAAGACCAUGUUUGCUUUCUGCCUAAUCACAUGAACUUUUAAGACCAUGCUUUUGCUCUAGCUAGCUGCUAAGUUGCUUUCUUGCCUAACCACGUGAACUGGGACCAAGUAUAGUCUUGCAUUAAUUAAGAUGCUAUAAUAUAGAGAGUUGAUCGGAGUUACCACCAAGUAUAGUCUUACACCUUACCAGUUUGCGGUAACGGACAAACGACCACUAAUCAAUGCCGCUAAUAGUAUCAUGAAACUAAAUAAGAGAUUGAAAUCGAUAGUUCAAUGAUGAUUGACGCUGAACUUGAAAGGAAUAAACGCGGUUCGAUCCCCCGCAACUGUGAUCGGGAGUGGGUUGGAACCACUUGAUGCUAGAAAUGACUCUCGAACCAAAUUAAACUGGUGGUGAAAAAAUAAAAUAAAAUAAGAGAUUAAAAGAAGAAAAAACCUAAUUUAAACACAUAAUUUUUAGGGUAAAUGAUCAUUUACCCCCCUACAAAAUAAGCAAAUUUUCGUUCACCCCUUGCUCAUAUUUUUUUUUUCUGUUUAUCCCCGCAAAAAAUAAAUUCCCUCAUUUAUCCCCCUAGAUGUACAGCAUGACAUCUGAUUGUGCAAAUCUACUGACGUGUCUUUUAUACAUGAAAAAAAAUUCAUUUAUAUUUAAUUUUAAAAUUCCACGUCAUCUAUUAAAAAAUUGAAAAAAUUAUUUAUGGGAGUAAAGUUUAAUAAAACUUUAUAAAUGUUUAAUAAACUUAUAGGAGUAAAGUUUGUAGAAUAAAAAAAUAUCAAGUUUUGUUUUGAAAAUAAUUUUUUCAAUUUUUUUUAAUAGAUAAUGUGAAAUUUUAAAAUUAAAUAUAAAUGAAUUUUUUUCCACGUGUACAAGCAACGUCAGCAGAUUUGUCCACCGAUGUCCUGUUGUACAAUUAGGGAGACAAAUGAAGAAAUCUAUCUUUUGCAGGGGAUAAACGAAAAUUCGAUUAUUUUGCAGGGGGUAGAAGAUCAUUUACCCUAAUAUUUAUGUAGAAAAUUCUCAACAAAUAAGGGAAAGGCCAUAGGGCAAAAUUAGAAGAAAUUAGAGAAUCUCUUUAUAAGUAUAUAUGGAGAGAACAAUUACACUGUCUUUUGAAAAUAUGCAGAAGGUUUCAUGCAAUGGCUUCUAACUACAAAUCUAUAGACUUUAAUCAUGUCUCUAAAAAACUGUAUUACACAAGGGAGGUACCCUUAACAUACUCUGUAAAAGCCAGAGCAAUCAAACCCAACAUAGCAAUUCUUCCAUUCCAAAGCUCUGCAUCUGAAGACAUGACAUCUUUUGACUUAGAUUCAACACUAACACCUUGGAAAAAUGGAAUCAAUGAAGCAAGUGACAACACUACACUUGUCCCCAAGAACCAAGGAACUCCACCACCAGAUAUUUGUUCAAACAAACCCUGUCCUUUUGCUAUUUCCACCCCCAUUGCAGCUACAAAACCAAUCAUAGCCAAUCUUCCAUUGAUUCUUUCAGGUGCUGGCCCACCAAAAGCCAUCAAGUCCAAAAAUUUUGUGCUCAUCUGCCAUUAUAUAAUCAUCAUUAUUCAUCAAAAGGGUCUCAUUAAUUUUGAUCAAAAUCAAAACUUUACAUAACUAAUCUUCUAGCAUAUAAUUCUGAAAAGAAAAAAAAAAAAACAAAGUUGAAAUUGUUUUUACUGCUAUGAUCACCUUUGGUGAACGAGUAUAGACCGGUUGUGGUGUUGGUGUAAUUGGAUCAACGGACACCUUUGGUUGCUCUUUCUGCUCUUCCUGAAUAAUGUAAUAAGUAAUUAGCAUUAGUAACCAAUUAAUCAUUUCAUAAAUUAAUCUUUAACAUGUUUCAUAUGAUACUAUAUCGACUUAAAAUUCCAAAAGUCUUAUAUAUAUAAGAUAAUUACACAUGAACAAAAAUUAAAUAGAAAACAAGUUGCUCGCUUAAAAUUUGUUUAAUAAAACCUUACCUCAGCCAUGGAACGAACUUUGAGGCUAGCAUUCCUUCUGAUGUUUGGCAUGUACACAGAAGGGGUGUUGCUAAAUUGGUUAACUCUAGACCUGCUAGAAAUGUUCGUCAUGGAGCUUGACAUGAUAGAUUGAUAAGAUGAAACAGCCAUUGAAAAUAAUUCCUUAAUGUAACACUGAAAAUUCAAGAGACCAAAGUCUUUUAUGAGUAUAUAAAAGACUUAGAUGGUUAAGGUUGGUAGGUAUAUGCAUUGAAGAAGGUUGUUUAUAUAGAAUAAAAUGGAAAGCAUUGUGAGGGACAUUUGAAUAUAUAUCCACGUAGUGUGUAAAGGUAAGUAUUUUGGUAGUUAUUUAAGUUCCACGUAAUGUGUAAAUGGGUCCUAAAGGUUAUUGGUUCACGUGGGUUCACUUGUCCACACAUGCUAAAAGCAACAGACGUGGCUCUAGUUAGGAGUUAGGACAAGACGGUGCUACAUUUUAAGUACAUUGAGAAUUUGAGGCUGUGUUUUAAAAUUUGGACCGAACAUCGAAUCAGUGAGAGUAUUGGGUUAUUGGUUCAUUGGUCGAACUAUCGGGUAACUGGUCGAACCAUAUGAUAAUUCGGAUUAAACCGAAUUAAAUCGGUGGAAUGAACCGAUCUCUAUAAUAAAAUUAUAUAGUUAUUAAGUCAGGUUAAACCGGAUGACUCGCUCUCUAAAAAAAUCAUGACACCUAAAAAAUGUGAAAAUUUUAGAAUAUCAUAAUUUCAUAAUUUUAUUCUUUAAAUUUAAAUUAUAAACACGGUCAUCGAUCAUUCACACAUACAAUUAAAUAAUACAAGACAGAAAUUCAAAUAAAUUUUGAACAAAGUCUAAUCGUAACAAAGUCUAUUUCUAUUUUCUAGUUUUAAUAAAAAAAUAAUUGUAUGCAUUAAAUUAAAUUGAAUUGAAUCCAUGACUAUACAUAUAUUUAAUUUUAUUUAAAAAAAACAAUAACAUAUGAAUUUUAAUGUUAAAUAUAAUAAAUUAGAAUUUAAAUAAAAUGAGAGUUGAACAAUUAAAUCAAUAGACAAACAAUAAAUAAAAUUUAAAUAACAUAAAAAAAAUACAAUACAAAUUAAAAUCCAGUUGCAUACAAAAUAAAAUCGAUAGCACAGUGGAGAGGUCAACGAAGAUGAAAUUUAAAUAACAUAAAAAAAUAAAUACUAAAUAAAUAACAUAAAACUUGUUUAAACAUUUAAACAUUUAAAUCUUCAUUCAAAACAUUCAUUCAUGGAGAAGUCAGUUGUUCGAAACCUACUGAUGGCAGCUUUUCUAAAAUUUUUAAACAUUUAAAUCUUCAUUCAAAACAUUCAUUCAUGUAUUUAUUACUUAUAUAAAAAAACGGCAUUUAUUACUAAAAAAACGCACGCGUUUUAAAAAAAAUCCAGAUCCAGGGAGUUAGCAUAUCCGAUCCAACAUCUAGACCAGACUGGUUGACCUCCGAUUUCCGGUUCAACCGGUUCAACCGGCCGGACUACAAUUUUCAAGGCCCAAGCCUCGGGGGAAAAUCGGGUUUGGCGCGCCGGCCCAUUCGGGGGAAAAAUUCAAUAAUAACUAUUAUUAUUAUGCGUUGUUCCGUCCCUAUUAGGUUGCAAAAAAUUAAAACUUGAACUUCUCAUUUUUAUCAAAUAGACAUAAAAAUGGAAACUUUGUUAUCAAACCAGGAAGUUCAAAUUUUUAAGUUGCAAAAAAUUACCUCAAAGUUGAAGAUGUGAAAGAUGAUGGAGAGAAAGGAUGAGUGUUGUUGCUAGUUGAAGAGUCUAAAAGAUAAUGGAGACAAAUGAUAAGUGUUGUUUUUUCUCAAAUCAAAUAAAAAUGUNNNNNNNNNNNNNNNNNNNNNNNNNNNNNNNNNNNNNNNNNNNNNNNNNNNNNNNNNNNNNAUCAAACCUAGUAAGUUCAAAUUUUUAAGUUGCAAAAAAUUAUCUCAAAGUUGAAGAGUGUGAAAGAUGAUGGAGAGAAAGGAUGAGUGUUGUUGCUAGUUGAAGAGUCUGAAAGAUAAUGGAGACAAAGGAUAAAUGUUGUUUUUCCUCAAAUCAAAUAAAAAUGUAAAAUUUGUUAUGAAAAACUCAAAUUUUUCGUGAGAUAAACAGAGCAGAAUGAAGAGAAUGAUACUGAUGAUGAUGAAGAAUGAGUAGUACAGUUGUAGCAGUGUAGCGCAGCUCUCUCAUGCAACCAGUGUUUUAAACAUUUAAAUCUUCAUUCAAAACAUUCAUUCAUGUAUUUAUUACUUAUAUAAAAAAAAGACAUUUAUUAUUAAAAAAAAAAUGCACGCGUUUUAAAAAAAUCCAGAUCCAGCUGUGCGCAUUUAACCCGUCCGGUCUGCAAAACCGUCGAUUCACCGAUUUUCCCGGUUCAUACCGGUUUUCACCGGUUCGUUAGCAUAUCCGAUCCAACAUCUAGACCAGAUCAGUUGACCUCCGAUUUCCGUUCCAACCGGUUCAACCGGCCGAGCUACAAUUUUCAAGGCCCAAGCCUCGGGGGAAAAUCGGGCUUGGCGCGCCGGCCCAUUUUGGGGAAAAAUUCAAUAAUAACUAUUAUUAUUAUGCGUUGUUCCGUCCCACUUAGGUUGCAAAAAAUUAUAACUUGAACUUUUCAUUUUUCUCAAACAGACAUAAAAAUGGAAACUUUGUUAUCAAACUCAAGAAGUUCAAAUUUUUAAGUUGCAAAAAAUUACCUCAAAGUUGAAGAUUGUGAAAGAUGAUGGAGAGAAAGGAUGAGUGUUGUUGCUAGUUGAAGAGUCUGAAAGAUAAUGGAGACAAAUGAUAAGUGUUGUUUNNNNNNNNNNNNNNNNNNNNNNNNNNNNNNNNNNNNNNNNNNNNNNNNNNNNNNNNNNNNNNNNNNNNNNNNNNNNNNNNNNNNNNNNNNNNNNNNNNNNNNNNNNNNNNNNNNNNNNNNNNNNNNNNNNNNNNNNNNNNNNNNNNNNNNNNNNNNNNNNNNNNNNNNNNNNNNNNNNNNNNNNNNNNNNNNNNNNNNNNNNNNNNNNNNNNNNNNNNNNNNNNNNNNNNNNNNNNNNNNNNNNNNNNNNNNNNNNNNNNNNNNNNNNNNNNNNNNNNNNNNNNNNNNNNNNNNNNNNNNNNNNNNNNNNNNNNNNNNNNNNNNNNNNNNNNNNNNNNNNNNNNNNNNNNNNNNNNNNNNNNNNNNNNNNNNNNNNNNNNNNNNNNNNNNNNNNNNNNNNNNNNNNNNNNNNNNNNNNNNNNNNNNNNNNNNNNNNNNNNNNNNNNNNNNNNNNNNNNNNNNNNNNNNNNNNNNNNNNNNNNNNNNNNNNNNNNNNNNNNNNNNNNNNNNNNNNNNNNNNNNNNNNNNNNNNNNNNNNNNNNNNNNNNNNNNNNNNNNNNNNNNNNNNNNNNNNNNNNNNNNNNNNNNNNNNNNNNNNNNNNNNNNNNNNNNNNNNNNNNNNNNNNNNNNNNNNNNNNNNNNNNNNNNNNNNNNNNNNNNCUGAAUAAUGUAAUAAGUAAUUAGCUUUAGUAACCAAUUAAUCAUUUCAUAAAUUAAUCUUUAACAUGUUUCAUAUGAUACUAUAUCGACUUAAAAUUCCAAAAGUCUUAUAUAUAUAAGAUAAUUACACAUGAACAAAAAUUAAAUAGAAAACAAGUUGUGCGCUUAAAAUUUGUUUAAUAAAACCUUACCUCAGCCAUGGAACGAACUUUGAGGCUAGCAUUCCUUCUGAUGUUUGGCAUGUACACAGAAGGGGUGUAGCUAAAUUGGUUAACUCUAGACCUGCUAGAAAUGUUUGUCAUGGAGCUUGACAUGAUAGAUUGAUAAGAUGAAACAGCCAUUGAAAAUAAUUCCUUAAUGUAACACUGAAAAUUCAAGAGACCAAAGUCUUUUAUGAAUAUAUAAAAGACUUAGAUGGUUAAGGUUGGUAGGUAAUAUGCAUUGAAGAAGGUUGUUUAUAUAUAAUAAAAUGAAAAGCAUUGUGAGGGACAUUUGAAUAUAUAUCCACGUAGUGUGUAAAGGUAAGUAUUUUGGUAGUUAUUUAAGUUCCACGUAAUGUGUAAAUGGUCCUAAAGGUUAUUGGUUCAUGUAGGUUCACUUGUCCACACAUGCUAAAAGCAACAGACGUGGCUCUAGUUAGGAGUUAGGACAAGAAGGUGCUACAUUUUACGGACAUUGAGAAUUUGAGGGAGUGUUUUAAAAACUGGAUCGGAUAUCGAACCGGUGAGAGUAUUGGGUCACUGGUUCAUUGGUCGAACCAUCGGGUAACUGGUCGAACCACAUGAUAAUUCGGAUUAAACCAAAUUAAACUGGUGGAAUGAACCGAUCUCUAUAAUAAAAUUAUAUAGUUAUUAAAUCAGGUUAAACCGGAUGACUCGCUCUCUAAAAAAAAUCAUGACACCUAAAAAAUGUGAAAAUAAUACAAGACGGAAAUUAAAUAAUACAAGACGAAAUUCAAAUAAAUUUUGAACAAAGUCUAAUCGUAACAAAGUCUAUUUCUAUUUUCUAGUUUUAAUAAAAAAAUAAUUGUAUGCAUUAAAUUAAAUUGAAUUGAAAUGAUGACUACAUAUAUUUAAUUUUAUUUAAAAAAACAAUAGCAUAUGAAUUUUAAUGUUAAAUAUAAUAAAUUAGAAUUUAAAUAAAAUGAGAGUUGAACAAUUAAAUCAAUAUUACGCAAACAAUAAAUAAAAUUUAAAUAACAUAAAAAAAAUUCAAUACAAAGUAAAAUCCAGUUGCAUACAAAAUAAAAUCGAUAGCAGAGUGGAGAGGUCAACGAAGAUGAAAUUUAAAUAACAAAAAAAUAAAUACUAAAUAAAUAACAUAAAACUUGUUUAAACAUUUAAACAUUUAAACAUUUAAAUCUUCAUUCAAAACAUUCAUUCAUGGAGAGGUCAGUGGUUCGAAACCUACUGAUGCCAGCUUUUCUAAAAUUUUUAAACAUUUAAAUCUUCAUUCAAAACAUUCAUUCAUGUAUUUAUUACUUAUAUAAAAAAAAGGCAUUUAUUACUAAAAAAAUGCACGCGUUUUAAAAAAAAUCCAGAUCCAGCUGUGCGCAUUUAACCCGGCCAGUCUGCAAAACCGUCGAUUCACCGGUUUUCCUGGUUCAUACUGGUUUUCACCGGUUCGUUAGCAUAUCCGAUCCAACAUCUAGACUAAACCGGUUGACCUCCGAUUUCCUGUCCAACCGAUUCAACCGGCCAGGCUACAAUUUUCAAGGCCCAAGCCUCGGGGGAAAAUUGGGCUUGGCGCGCCAGCCCAUUCGGGAGAAAAAUUCAAUAAUAACUAUUAUUAUUAUUAUUAUUAUUAUGCGUUGUUCCGUCCCACUUAGGUUGCAAAAAAUUAUAACUUGAACUUCUCAUUUUUAUCAAACAGACAUAAAAAUGGAAACUUUGUUAUCAAACCCAGGAAGUUCAAAUUUUUAAGUUGCAAAAAAUUACCUCAAAGUUGAAGAUGUGAAAGAUGAUGGAGAGAAAGGAUGAGUGUUGUUGCUAGUUGAAGAGUCUGAAAGAUAAUGGAGACCAAUGAUAAGUGUUGUUUUUUCUCAAAUCAAAUAAAAAUGUAAAAUUUGUUAUCAAACCCAGGAAAGAUGAUGGAGAGAAAGGAUACAGAGCAAUACAGACAUAAAAAUGGAAACUUUGUUAUCAAACCCAGUAAGUUCAAAUUUUUAAGUUGCAAAAAAUUAUCUCAAAGUUGAAGAGCGUGAAAGAUGAUGAAGAGAAAGGAUGAGUGUUGUUGCUAGUUGAAGAGUCUGAAAGAUAAUGGAGACAAAGGAUAAAUGUUGUUUUUUCUCAAAUCAAAUAAAAAUGUAAAAUUUGUUAUGAAAAACUCAAAUUUUUCGUGAGAUAAACAGAGCAGAAUGAAGAGAAUGAUACCGAUGAUGAUGAAGAGUGAGUAGUACAGUUGUAGCAGUGUAGCGCAGCUCUCUCAUGCAACGAGUGUUUUAAACAUUUAAAUCUUCAUUCAAAACAUUCAUUCAUGUUAUAUAAAAAAAGGCAUUUAUUAUUAAAAAAAACGCACGCGUUUUAAAAAAAAUCCAGAUCCAGCUGUGCGCAUUUAACCCGGCCGGUCUGCAAAACCGUCGAUGCACCGGUUUUCCUGGUUCAUAUCGGUUUUCACCGGUUCGUUAGCAUAUCCGAUCCAACAUCUAGACCAGACCGGUUGACCUCCGAUUUUCGUUCCAACCGGUUCAAUCGGUCGGGCUACAAUUUUCAAGGCCCAAGCCUCGGGGGAAAAUCGGGCUUGGCGCGCCGGCCCAUUCUGGGGAAAAAUUCAAUAAUAACUAUUAUUAUUAUGCGUUGUUCCGUCCCAGUUAGGUUGCAAAAAAUUAUAACUUGAACUUCUCAUUUUUCUCAAACAGACAUAAAAAUGGAAACUUUGUUAUCAAACACAGGAAGUUCAAAUGUUUAAGUUGCAAAAAAUUACCUCAAAGUUGAAGAGUGUGAAAGAUGAUGGAGAGAAAGGAUGAGUGUUGUUGCUAGUUGAAGAGUCUGAAAGAUAAUGGAGACAAAUGAUAAGUGUUGUUUUUACACAAAUCAAAUAAAAAUGUAAAAUUUGUUAUGAAACCCAGGAAAGAUGAUGGAGAGAAAGGAUACGAUACAGACAUAAAAAUGGAAACUUUGUUAUCAAACCCAGGAAGUUCAAAUUUUUAAGUUGCAAAAAAUUAUCUCAAAGUUGAAGAGUGUGAAAGAUGAUGGAGAGAAAGGAUGAGUGUUGUUGCUAGUUGAAGAGUCUGAAAGAUAAUGGAGACAAAAGAUAAAUGUUGUUUUUUCUCAAAUCAAAUAAAAAUGUAAAAUUUGUUAUGAAAAGCUCAAAUUUUUCGUGAGAUAAUCAGAGCAGAAUGAAGAGAAUGAUACCGAUGAUGAUGAAGAGUGAGUAGUACAGUUGUAGCAGUGUAGCACAGCUCUCUCAUGCAACCAGUAUUUUGAAAACCGGACCGGACCGGCCGAGUGGCAGCAUGUUGCAUGUUUUACGGAGAGGUCAGUGGUUCGAAACCUACUGAUGCCAGUUUUUCUAAAAUUUUUAAACAUUAAAUCUUCGUUCAAAACAUUCAUUCAUGUAUUUAUUACUUAUAUAAAAAAAAAAGCAUUUAUUACUAAAAAAAACGUGUGCGUUUUAAAAAAAACCAGCUGUGCGCAUUUAACCCGGUCGGUCUGCAAAACCGCCGAUUCACCAGUUUUUACCGGUUCGUUAGCAUAUCUGAUCCAACAUUCAGAUCAGAUCGGUUGACCUCCGGUUUUCGGUCCAACCGGUUCAUUAGUCCCCACAUAAGGAAUUAAACUUAUUGAGGUUGGGCACAUUCCAAGUGGACAACUCUUAAUUAAAACCUCAAUAAGCUUAGUACUGAAGUCAACAUAAUUCGUAACUACAGUUUGAUUGGAUGAUAAAAAUUCUUUAUAUAUGACAAUGUUGUCGACACUUAUCUUAAUCACCUAAUCAAUUCUUUUUCAGGUAAUCACUAUCAAGGUUUUUCUUGUAAGAAAGGGUUGUAUAUGUUUUUGGUCCUUAUAAUAUCUCAAAUUUUAUUUUUAGUCCCCAUAAAAUUUUUGAACAACUUUUGGUCCCUAAAGUAUUUCCUAUCAUGAUUUUUGGUCCUUACUUUUCAUUCAACUCGUGCAUAUCAUUCGAAAUUUUAAAUUUUUUCGUGCGGUUAUGUUUAGUACAUUAUAUGAAUCUCUCUUGCAAAAAUUUAAUUUUUUUUUAUCAAGAAAUGAAUUAAAUAUAAUUUUUUUUAAUAGUUUUUUGCACAUAAAAAUUAAUAAAUAAUUCAUCUUAUGGGUUAAAAAAAUUAUAAUUUAUAACAUGCAUAAGGAAUUAAACUUAUGUGGAUCUUGCACAAUAAGCUUUUGAAUUAUCUUACAAAGAAGCAUUUAUAAUGUCAAAAUACAACCUCUAUUUCCAUAAUAGAUUGUUCAAUAGUUUGUGUUCAAAUUGAGAGUAUAUGGAGAGAACAAUUACAUUGUCUCUCCCUCUUGAAAAUGGAAGAAAUACCUCAAAGAAAAAACUACAUAAAAAUCCUAUAGACGUUAAUUAUAUCCCUAUAUAAGUCAAUUACACAAGGGAUGUACCCUUAACAUAUUCAGUAAAAGCCAAAGCAAUCAAACCCAACAUAGCAAUUCUUCCAUUCCACAACUCUGCAUCUGAAGACAUGACACCUUUUGACUUAGAUUCAACACUAACACCUUGGAAAAAUGGAAUCAAUGAAGCAAGUGACAACACCACACUUGUUCCCAAGAACCAUGGAACUCCACCACCAGAUAUUUGUUCAAACAAACCCUGUCCUUUUGCUAUCUCCACCCCCAUUGCAGCUACAAAACCAAUCAUAGCCAACCUUCCAUUAAUCCUUUCAGGUGCUGGCCCACCAAAAGCCAUCAAGUCCGAAAAUUUUGUGCUUAUCUGUCAUGAUAUAAUAAACAUUAAUCAUCAAAAGGGUCACAUAAAUUUUGACCAAAAUUAAUACUUUUUCAUGCAGUUCAGAAAGAAAAAAAAAAUUCAUUUUUUUUUACUACUAGUCUACUACUACUAUGCUCACCUUUGGUGAACGAGUAUAGGUUGGUUUUGGUGGUGGUGUAACUGGUGUUGGUGUAAUUGGGUCUACAGGAACCUUUGGUUGCUCUUUCUGCUCUUCCUGAAUAACAUAUCAAAAAAUUAUUAUUAAUUAAAGUAACAAUAAUAACUACUAUACAACUAUCUCUGACCCCUCCCUCACGUUAGUCGGUUCUUGGGCCGAAUACUACUGAGUUUUCAAAAAAGAGAUCAAAUAUGCACAUAUGAACAAAAUACUAUAAUAUAUAACCUUAAAAUUUGUUUUUAUAAAACAUGAAUUACCUCAGCCAUAGAUCGAACUUUGAAGCUAGCAUUCCUUCUCAUGUUUGGCAUGUAGACAGAAGGGAUGUUGCUAAAUUGGUUAACUCUAGACCUGCUAGAAAUGCUGGUCAUGGAGCUUGACAUGAUAGAUUGAUAAGAUGAAACAGCCAUUGAUAAUUGUUCCUUAAUCUUACAAUGGUAAACUUAAGAGACUAAAGAUUUUUUGAAGAUAGAUAGGAUAGCUUUGUGAAUCUCACUGAACUUAGAUGGUUAAGGUUGGUAGGUUUAGC
rnacentral:lncRNA from 1 species